GAUGAACGCUGGCGGCGUGCCUAAUACAUGCAAGUCGAGCGAACAGACGAGGAGCUUGCUCCUCUGACGUUAGCGGCGGACGGGUGAGUAACACGUGGAUAACCUACCUAUAAGACUGGGAUAACUUCGGGAAACCGGAGCUAAUACCGGAUAAUAUAUUAAACCGCAUGGUUCAAUAGUGAAAGACGGUUUUGCUGUCACUUAUAGAUGGAUCCGCGCCGCAUUAGCUAGUUGGUAAGGUAACGGCUUACCAAGGCAACGAUGCGUAGCCGACCUGAGCGGGUGGUCGCCCAGACGGGAACUGAGACACGGUCCAGACUCCUACGGGAGGCAGCAGUAGGGAAUCUUCCGCAAUGGGCGAGAGCCUGACGGAGCAACGCCGCGUGAGUGAUGAAGGUCUUCGGAUCGUAGAACUCUGUUAUUAGGGAAGAACAAAUGUGUAAGUAACUAUGCACGUCUUGACGGUACCUAAUCAGAAAGCCACGGCUAACUACGUG
rnacentral:rRNA from 1 species